rnacentral:rRNA from 1 species
UAGCCCUCGCUUUUCUGUACCGUAAGGUGGUACAGGAACAAGGACUGGGCAAGACCGGUGCCAGCCGCCGCGGUAAUACCGGCAGUCCAAGUGAUGGCCGAUAUUAUUGGGCCUAAAGCGUCCGUAGCCGGCCGGACAAGUCCGUUGGGAAAUCGACGCGCUCAACGCGUCGGCGUCCAGCGGAAACUGUCCGGCUUGGGGCCGGAAGACCUGAGGGGUACGUCCGGGGUAGGAGUGAAAUUCUGUAAUCCUGGACGGACCACCAAUGGGGAAACCACCUCAGGAAGACGGACCCGACGGUGAGGGACGAAAGCUAGGGUCUCGAACCGGAUUAGAUACCCGGGUAGUCCUAGCUGUAAACGAUGCUCGCUAGGUGUGCCGUAGGCUACGAGCCUGCGCUGCGCCCUAGGGAAGCCGAGAAGCGAGCCGCCUGGGAAGUACGUCUGCAAGGAUGAAACUUAAAGGAAUUGGCGGGGGAGCACCACAACCGGAGGAGCCUGCGGUUUAAUUGGACUCAACGCCGGACAUCUCACCGGUCCCGACAGUAGUAAUGACGGUCAGGUUGACGACCUUACCCGACGCUACUGAGAGGAGGUGCAUGGCCGCCGUCAGCUCGUACCGUGAGGCGUCCUGUUAAGUCAGGCAACGAGCGAGACCCGCACUUCUAGUUGCCAGCAAUACCCUUGAGGUAGUUGGGUACACUAGGAGGACUGCCAUUGCUAAAAUGGAGGAAGGAACGGGCAACGGUAGGUCAGUAUGCCCCGAAUGGACCGGGCAACACGCGGGCUACAAUGGCUCUGACAGUGGGAUGCAACGCCGAGAGGCGACGCUAAUCUCCAAACGGAGUCGUAGUU